rnacentral:lncRNA from 1 species
AGGCCUGGGCAACGGGUGCUCGACUUAAACUCUCGACUAUCGGGUUAUACGACAGUCGGGAAGUCGAUCGAAAAUUGGGGUUCGCUCCACCUUUAAAUAGCGCACGCGCUACCGACUGUCCCGGCUAGCUAUCUGGGAUCUUACCUAGUGUGUCGGGCCUACGAUUUAUACGUUCAAAGGUGUUUCGGUGAAACAUACAUUCAAAACACACUAAGCAAUUCA